UACGUAGGCGGGCUUACAGGCGUUUUGUGAAAGCCCUCGGCUCAACCGAGGAAUUGCUUGACGAACCGUAAGUCUUGAGGCAAGUAGGGGCUGUCGGAACGAUAGGUGGAGUGGUGAAAUGCGUUGAUAUCUAUCGGAACGCCGAAGGAGAAAUCAGGCAGCUGGGCUUGUCCUGACGCUGAGGUACGAAAGCGUGGGUAGCGAACAGGAUUAGAUACCCUGGUAGUC
rnacentral:rRNA from 1 species